GAUUAUGGCUCAGAUUGAACGCUGGCGGGAUGUUUACACAUGCAAGUCGAACGGCAGCACGGACUUCGGUCUGGUGGCGAGUGGCGAACGGGUGAGUAAUGUAUCGGAACGUGCCUAGUAGCGGGGAUAACUACGCGAAAGCGUUAAUACCGGCAUACGCCUUCGGGGGAAAGCGGGGACCUUCGGGCUCGCACUAUUAGAGCGGCCGAUAUCGGAUUAGCUAGUUGGUGGGGUAACGGCUCACCAAGGCGACGAUCCGUAGCUGGUUUGAGAGGACGACCAGCCACACUGGACUGAGACACGGCCCAGACUCCUACGGGAGGCAGCAGUGGGGAAUUUUGGACAAUGGGGAAACUCCUGAUCCGCACAUCCCGCGUGUGCGAUGAAGGCCCGGGUUGUAAAAGCACUUUUGGCAGGAAAGAAACGGCACGGGAUAAUACCCCGUGCAACUGACGGUACCUGCAGAAUAAGCACCGGCUAACUACGUGCCAGCAGCCGCGGUAAUACGUAGGGUGUGUUAAUCGGAAUUACUGGGCGUAAAGCGUGUGUGCAGGCGGUUCGGAAAGAAGAUGUGAAAUCCCAGAGCUUACUUUGGAACUGCAUUUUAACUACCGAGCUAGAGUGUGUCAGAGGGAGGUGGGAUUCCGCGUGUAGCAGUGAAAUGCGUAGAUAUGCGGAGGAACACCGAUGGCGAAGGCAGCCUCCUGGGAUAACACUGACGCUCAUGCACGAAAGCGUGGGGAGCAAACAGGAUUAGAUACCCUGGUAGUCCACGCUCCCAACGAUGUCAACUAGCUGUUGGGGCCUUCGGCCUUGGUAGCGCAGCUAACGCGUGAAGUUGACCGCCUGGGGACACGGUCGCAAGAUUGGAAACUCAAAGGAAUUGACGGGGACUCCGCACAAGCGGUGGAUGAUGAUUAAUUCGAUGCAACGAAAACCUUACCUACCUCGACAUGUCUGGAAUCCCGAAGAGAUUUGGGAGUGCUCGCAAGAGAACCGAACACAGGUGCUGCAUGGCCGUCGUCAGCUCGUGUCGUGAGACGUUGGGUUAAGUCCUGCAACGAGCGCAACCCCUUUGUCAUUAGUUGCUACGAAAGGAUACUCGACGAGACUGCCGAAGACAAACCAGAGGCAGUGGAUGACGUUAUCCUUACCACGAGCGGUAGGCUUCAACAUCAGCAACAAUGAGCCGACAGAGGGUCGCCAAACUAUGAGGACAACCUGGCGUCCCGAUUGGUUCACCGCAGUCUGCAACUCGACUGCGUGAAGUCGGAACUGCCAGUAAUCGCGGAUCAGCAUGUCGCGGUGAAUACGUUCCCGGGUCUUGCAUACACCGCCCGUCACACCAUGGGAGUGGGUUUUACCAGAAGUAGUUAGCCUAACCGUAAGGAGGGCGAUUACCACGGUAGGAUUCAUGACUGGGGUGAAGUCGUAACAAGGUAA
rnacentral:rRNA from 1 species